GCUAGCGGCAGGCCUAACACAUGCAAGUCGAACGGUAACAGGGGAAAAGCUUGCUUUUCCGCUGACGAGUGGCGCACGGGUGCGUAACGCGUAUACAAUCUACCUCUUACAGGGGGAUAGCCUUUAGAAAUGAAGAUUAAUACCCCAUGGCAUUAUAAACCGGCAUCGGUUUAUAAUUAAAGUUUCGGCGGUAGGAGAUGAGUAUGCGUUCUAUUAGCUAGUAGGUGUGGUAACGGCACACCUAGGCAACGAUAGAUAGGGGCCCUGAGAGGGGGAUCCCCCACACUGGUACUGAGACACCGGACCAGACUCCUACGGGAGGCAGCAGUGAGGAAUAUUGGACAAUGGGCGGAAGCCUGAUCCAGCCAUGCCGCGUGCAGGAAGACUGCCCUAUGGGUUGUAAACUGCUUUUGUACAGGAAGAAACCUUUCCACGUGUGGAGAGCUGACGGUACUGUAAGAAUAAGCAUCGGCUAACUCCGUGCCAGCAGCCGCGGUAAUACGGAGGAUGCAAGCGUUAUCCGGAAUCAUUGGGUUUAAAGGGUCCGUAGGUGGAUUGGUCAGUCAGAGGUGAAAUCCUGCAGCUCAACUGUAGAACUGCCUUUGAUACUGCCGGUCUUGAAU
rnacentral:rRNA from 1 species